rnacentral:rRNA from 1 species
UACGGAGGGGGCGAGCGUUAUUCGGCAUUAUUGGGCGUCCAGGGCAGGUAGGCGGCUUCGUGUGUCUCUUGUGAAAGCCCUCGGCUCAACUGAGGAAUUGCAAGGGAAACUACGGAGCUUGAGUCCGGGAGAGGAGAGUGGAAUUCCCAGUGUAGCGGUGAAAUGCGUAGAUAUUGGGAGGAACACCGGUGGCGAAGGCGGCUCUCUGGGACGUGACUGACGCUGAGACGCGAAAGCGUGGGGAGCAAACAGG